UGGUUAAAUUAAUAAGGGCGUAUGGUGGAUGCCUUGGCAUUAGAAGACGAUGAAGGACGUGACUAACUACGAUAUGCUUCGGGGAGCUGUAAGUAAGCUUUGAUCCGGAGAUCUCCGAAUGCGGGAACGCACUUGCAGUAAUUUGCAAGUAUCGUACAGUGAAUACAUAGCUGUAUGAGGACAACCCUGUGAACUGAAACAUCUUAGUAGCAGGAGGAAAAGAAAGAAAAUUCGAUUCCCUUAGUAGUGGCGAGCGAAAAGGGAAAUAGCCCAAACCAAUCUUCGGAUUGGGGUUGUAGGACUUCCUAUACGGAGUUACAAAUCUACUAGAUAGCAGAAUAACCUGGAAAGGUUAGCUGUAAAGAGUGAAAGCCUCGUAUGCGAAAUUUAGUAGACUCUUGGAAGUAUCCUGAGUACGGCGGGACACGUGGAAUCCUGUCGGAAUCUACCGGGACCAUCCGGUAAGGCUAAAUACUCUCUAAUGACCGAUAGUGAACAAGUACCGUGAGGGAAAGGUGAAAAGAACCCCGGGAGGGGAGUGAAAUAGAUACUGAAACCAUAUGCUUACAAAAAGUUCGAGCGCGUUAAUGCGUGAGAGCGUGCCUUUUGCAGAAUGAGCCGGCGAGUUAUGGUAUUGUGCAAGGUUAAGUGGCAAACACGGAGCCGAAGCGAGAGCGAGUCUGAAUAGGGCGCUUAGUACAAUGCUGUAGACCCGAAACCGAGUGAUCUAGCCAUGAGCAGGCUGAAGUAAGGGUGAAACCUUAUGGAGGGCCGAACCAGGACACGUUGUAAAGUGUUUGGAUGACUUGUGGCUAGCGGUGAAAUUCCAAUCGAACUCGGAUAUAGCUGGUUCUCCCCGAAAUAGGUUUAGGCCUAGCCUUGGAUUAAUGCCCACUGGAGGUAGAGCACUGAAUAUGGAAUGGCUGCGUCUAGCGGUACUGACUGUAAUCAACCUCCGAAUGCCAGUGAUAGUAGAUCCAGGAGUCAGUGUAUGAGGUGAUAACGUCCAUACGCGAGAGGAAAAUAAUCCAGAUCAUCAGCUAAGGUCCCAAAAUAUAUGUUAAGUGGAAAAGGAUGUGGGAACGCACAAACAGCUAGGAGGUUGGCUCAGAAGCAGCCACCCUUCAAAGAGUGCGUAAUAGCUCACUAGUCGAGUGUUCCUGCGCCGAAAAUGUACCGGGGCUAAACAUAUUACCGAAGCUAUGGAUUUGUAUUUAUACAAGUGGUAGGGGAGCGUUCUAAGGGCGCUGAAGGUAGAUCGUGAGGACUACUGGAGCGCUUAGAAGUGAGAAUGCCGGUGUGAGUAACGUAAGGAGGGUGAGAAUCCCUCCCACCAAUCGACCAAGGAUUCCAGGGUACGGUUCGUCUUCCCUGGGUUAGUCGGGACCUAAGAUGAGGCCGAGAGGCGUAGUCGAUGGACAACAGGUUCAUAUUCCUGUACCAGCUAUGUGACUGAUGGAGUGACGGAGAAGGAUAGUGAGAGCCUAUUAUUGGAUUUAGGUUUAAACACAAAGGUUUGUGCGUAGGCAAAUCCGCGACACUAUUAAGACUGAAGUGCGAUGACGACAGUUUCUACGGAAACUUAAGUCUCAUGACUCCAUGCUUCCAAGAAAAACUUCUAAAGAUAUUGCAUAGUUGUCCGUACCAAGAACCAACACAGGUGGUCAAGGAGAGUAUCCUAAGGUGAGCGAGAUAACCAUGGGUUAAGGAACUCGGCAAAAUUGCCCCGUAACUUCGGGAUAAGGGGAGGUCACUUCGGUGACCCACAGAAAAGAGACCCAAGCAACUGUUUACCAAAAACACAGGUUUCUGCAAAAUCGUAAGAUGAUGUAUAGGAGCUGACGCCUGCCCAGUGCUGGAAGGUUAAGAGGAUGCGUUCGGUGGACGUAAGUCGAUAACACCAAAGCGUUGAAUUGAAGCCCCAGUGAACGGCGGCCGUAACUAUAACGGUCCUAAGGUAGCGAAAUUCCUUGUCAGGUAAAUUCUGACCCGCACGAAAGGCGUAAUGAUUUGGGUGCUGUCUCAACCAUGGACUCGGUGAAAUCUUAAUACCUGUGAAAAUGCAGGUUACCAGCGACAGGACGGAAAGACCCCAUGGAGCUUUACUGUAGCUUGAUAUUGGAUUCAGGAAGUUUUUGUAGAGGAUAGGUGGUAGACUUUGAUGCGUAGGCGCCAGUUUACGUUGAGUCGACCUUGGAAUACCACCCUUAAGCUUUUUGAAUUCUAACUUACUCCCGUUAUCCGGGAGGAGGACAGUGUCUGGUGGGCAGUUUGACUGGGGCGGUCGCCUCCCAAAAAGUAACGGAGGCGCCCAAAGGUUCCCUCAGGUUGGUCGGAAAUCAACCUUCGAGCGUAAUGGUAUAAGGGAGCUUAACUGCGAGACCCACAAGUCGAGCAGGUGCGAAAGCAGGGCAUAGUGAUCAGGCGGUUGAAUAUGGAAUUGCCGUCGCUUAACGGAUAAAAGUUACCCUGGGGAUAACAGGCUGAUACCACCCAAUAGUUCACAUAGACGGUGGUGAUUGGCACCUCGAUGUCGGCUCGUCACAUCCUGGAGGUGGAUUCGCUUCCAAGGGUUGAGCUGUUCGCUCAUUAAAGUGGCACGCGAGCUGGGUUCAGAACGUCGUGAGACAGUUCGGUCCCUAUCCGUCGUUGGCGUAGGAAAAUUGAGGAGAGCUGUUCCUAGUACGAGAGGACCGGAAUGGACAAACCUAUGAUGUAUCAGUUGUCACGCCAGUGGCACCGCUGAGUAGUUAUGUUUGGACGGGAUAACCGCUGAAAGCAUCUAAGCGGGAAGCCUCCUCCAAGAUGAAUUUUCCCAUAUUUUAUAUAGUAAGUGUCCUUGUAGACUACGAGGUUGAUAGGCUAGAGGUGGAAGCGUAGUGAUACGUUGAGCUGACUAGUACUAAUAACACGAGGAUUUAAUCCCAAUU
rnacentral:rRNA from 1 species